UGCCUGAAGAAAAACUAUUUCAGGUAAUACCUGCCCAGUGAAAUUUCAUUAAACGGCCGCGGGAACCCGUGCAAAGGUAGCAUAAUCAUUUGCCCUCUAAUUAAGGGCUUGUAUGAACGGAUAAACGAGAAAUUUCCUGUCUCUUAGACAUAAAUAAAAUCUAUCCUAUAUGUGAAAAGACAUAGCUAAUUUUAGAAGACAAGAAGACCCUACUGCACUUUAUUAUGCGCGAUCGUAUAAACCAUCCUCUUAAUUUCGUUGGGGCGACACCGGAUAUUCCCAUCCAUCCGAAUUUAAUAAAGGACCACACUCCUUAACAAUUGACCCUCUUAAGAUCAAAGAACAAGCCACCAUAGGGAUAACAGGCUAAUCCCCUCAUAGAGCCCCUAUCGACGAGGGGGGUUAGCACCUCGAUGUUGGCUUAGGGUAUCAUAUAGGCGCAGCCGCCUAUAACUGAAGGUUUGUUCAACCUACCAAACCCU
rnacentral:rRNA from 1 species